rnacentral:misc_RNA from 1 species
GAUGAAGAACGCAGCGAAAUGCGAUAAGUAAUGUGAAUUGCAGAAUUCAGUGAAUCAUCGAAUCUUUGAACGCACAUUGCGCCCCCUAGUAUUCUGGCGGGCAUGCCUGUCCGAGCGUCAUUUCAACCCUCAAGCCCCCGGGCUUGGUGUUGGGGAUCGGCGAGCCUCCGCGCCCGCCGUCCCCUAAAUCUAGUGGCGGUCUCGCUGUAGCUUCCUCUGCGUAGUAGCACACCUCGCACUGGGAAACAGCGCGGCCACGCCGUUAAACCCCCAACUUCUGAACGUUUGACCUCGGAUCAGGUAGGAAUACCCGCUGAACUUAAGCAUAUCAUAAGCGGAGGA